CCUGAACAAGCUCUCUUUGCCUGCUGCCAUCCAUGUAAGACGUGACUUAUUCCUCCUUGCCUUCCGCCAUGAUUGUGAGGCCUCCCCAGCCAUUCAGAACUCACAGGUACUUUCUUACUUCUCUUCAGUUAUCUUUGGGAGAAAGGAAAGUGACCAUCCUUCUUCCCAGGGCUGCUCUGAGAACAAACACUGCCGGGGGCUGCCUUUUGAGAGAGAGAGAAAGCCAGACCUCUUAAAUUUGUCUUCCACCUUCUACUGACUCUAAUCUCAG
rnacentral:lncRNA from 1 species